CAGUAUUAUAGCGAGUAUAAUAUAAUAUAAGGAUUAAAAGUAUUUAAAACUCUAAUAUUCCGAUGAUAUUAUAUUUUACGGAGUGUAAACCACGUGAAACGCAGUAAGACGAGCAAGGGUCACAAUCAAAAAAAAAAAUUGUAUCCAACACAUAAGUUUUUAACUCACAGACCGCAAACAUAUUAUAUUAUAUUCAUAUUAUAUAUUAUAUAUCAUAACAACAUAAUUCAAGCAAUACAAUAUAACGAUGAUGUUUUUGGGAUUUAAUAUAGCCAGCUGUGAGUCAUGAUGACCUAUCUACCUUAUCUACUGUUCAUUAAACCAAUGCGAAAUACUUCAGUUUUCAUCUUAGACAUCAUCGUUAACUUACAGACACUGUGACAUAUUUCCUCGCUAUGCUAUUGUAGUCAUGGGAAUCCGUUACUUUGGAGGUUGGGUCGUGUGGCGUUUGAUAAUCCGCCAGGAGGUUCAAACGAUAAUAUCAAAACAAAAAAAACCCCUGAACGGGUUGUGCUCGGAAUGGGAAUGGCCGACUCGUGGUCUGACAGAACUUACGGGCAGUGGUUACGGGAAUAAUCCAGACAUGCGUGGCCAAA